AACGAACGCUGGCGGCAUGCCUAACACAUGCAAGUCGAACGGCAGCACGGGAGCUUGCUCCUGGUGGCGAGUGGCGAACGGGUGAGUAACAUAUCGGAACGUACCCCGUCGUGGGGGAUAACUCUCCGAAAGGAGUGCUAAUACCGCAUACGACCUGAGGGUGAAAGCGGGGGACCUGCAAGGGCCUCGCGCGAUGGGAGCGGCCGAUAUCGGAUUAGCUAGUUGGUGAGGUAAAGGCUCACCAAGGCGACGAUCCGUAGCGGGUCUGAGAGGACGACCCGCCACACUGGAACUGAGACACGGUCCAGACUCCUACGGGAGGCAGCAGUGGGGGAAUUUUGGACAAUGGGGGAACCCUGAUCCAGCCAUUCCGCGUGAGUGAAGAAGGCC
rnacentral:rRNA from 1 species